CCAAUCAAGCCAGGCUCCAGGAAAAGAUAACAAGUGGUGUGUCUCUACCCAACUGAACAUAAUCUGAACGACUCCAACUGCUGCUUACAAAUCCUGGUAUGCAAGUGCAGGUACAAGGCUGGCCAUGUGAGCCAGUAGGACUACAAGUCUACAAGGAUCUACAGUACUGACAUGGCACAGUCUACGUAAGGUAUAAAUCUGUGAGCUGAGAAUGUACAUCACCCCUUGAUCAUUUCUGAAAUGAGAUGUUUCUCAGUGGAUUGAUCUGUGAGCUGAGAGUGUACCGAUUCUCU
rnacentral:lncRNA from 1 species